rnacentral:lncRNA from 1 species
CUUUUGCUGACAGUCCUAAAAUCAGCCAUGGUGAAGAUUUCUGGAGAAGCCCAGUUAAGACUUUUCUGUGGAGAAAGGGGGGAACCACUUCAGUAUAAGAAGAACAAAGGGGAGGCACAGGAGGGGGCCUGAUAAAUGGGCUUGAUCAAGGGAAAGGGACAGGGUCCUGGAGAAGGGCAGCCUCAAGCAAGGAGCCAGGCCCAGGAAUGGAGAGCAAAGUGUGUUGGCCCUGGCAGGGGUCCCAUGAAAACACACAGGGCUAGGAAGGGGAGGGAGGGGAGAAUGGGGAGCGGGUAGUGC